UACGGAGGGAGCUAGCGUUAUUCGGAAUUACUGGGCGUAAAGCGCACGUAGGCGGCUUUGUAAGUUAGAGGUGAAAGCCUGGAGCUCAACUCCAGAAUUGCCUUUGAUACUGCAUCGCUUGAAUCCAGGAGAGGUGAGUGGAAUUCCGAGUGUAGAGGUGAAAUUCGUAGAUAUUCGGAAGAACACCAGUGGCGAAGGCGGCUCACUGGACUGGUAUUGACGCUGAGGUGCGAAAGCGUGGGGAGCAAACAGG
rnacentral:rRNA from 1 species